rnacentral:misc_RNA from 1 species
GAUGAAGAACGUAGCGAAAUGCGAUAAGUAAUGUGAAUUGCAGAAUUCAGUGAAUCAUCGAAUCUUUGAACGCACAUUGCGCCCCCUGGUAUUCCGGGGGGCAUGCCUGUUCGAGCGUCAUUUCACCACUCAAGCCUCGCUUGGUAUUGGGCAACGCGGUCCGCCGCGUGCCUCAAAUCGACCGGCUGGGUCUUCUCCCCUAAGCGUUGUGGAAACUAUUCGCUAAAGGGUGUUCGGGAGGCUACGCCGUAAAACAACCCCAUUUCUAAGGUUGACCUCGGAUCAGGUAGGGAUACCCGCUGAACUUAAGCAUAUCAAUAAGCGGAGGA